GUCAGACUAUGUGUGUGUGUGUCUCUAACCUGUGUCCUGUUUCUCAAAAGACAGACAUACUAAAUCUUUCUCUCCCCGGCAACUGCUUAAACAGGGUUUCCUAUUCUCCUACUUGCUCCUUCAGUUUCAGUUCAUAUUACAAACAUUUAAUAUUUUGUUUAAUAUAUCUACAUUGGUUACAACAGCUUAUAACAGUUCACUAACUUAUACAAUCACUACAUCUACAGUAGCCUCAUUUAUACGCUUACUCCAGGUAGCGCAAGUUUUCUUUUAGGUAUACCAGGCAAACUAGCUAAUGCAGCUAGCUAACGCGGUACUGUACGACUACGUAAACAAACAUCAGCUUAGUUCUUUAAGCCGACAUAAUUUCUGGUGCACCGUCAUCAUUUCUGGACAAGGAAUCUCAGCAGGUUUAGGAGAGAAGGCUGUGGCGAACCAUCGUCUUAAAACAUGCACCAACCCACGACAAACUGCAACUACCUCUAACUACAAAUUGUAUUUGUUCAUUAUAUUUAAAACCUGCUUGAUUCAUGUAAAUGAUCAAUUACAUUAACAAAUACACUGGUUUAUUGGAUAUUUAUACCACAGAAUUGGUGAAUACUUUUUCCUGAUUGACUAGAAGUGAGUUCUAGAAUGGACAUAAAUUACUGAUAUACAGGACAGUUGGAUGGACAUUAAUUUCAGAUAUAAAAGACAUCUAAUCAUGAUGUAAAAAACCUCUAAUUAUGUCUUGUGUGUUGUUAUCAUUUAUAAUUCUAGUGGUUUUGUGGCAUUCAUGUCAUGCUUAUGUGUCCUGCAUAUCUCAGCCAGCAUGGCAAUGGGUCCAACAGCAGAGGAAGGUGAAGAUAGAAUCGAAGACCACUCAUUGACUCAUUUCUGACAACAAGGAAGAGUAAAUCAUCUGUCUUUGCUUGUGUUAUUGUAUUUUGUCAGUUGGAUAAUAUUUAUUGUUUGUUUCAAUUUAUAGUACAUUUUGUUUCUCUUCAUGAUUUCACAAUUCUUCACCAUUUGAGAAGAAAAUAACCCAGUGAACAGUAAAGCAUACAUAUUGGCUUGCGUUCUUAUAUUUUAAUUAUUAAAAAAAUGUCCAGUUUGAUAAUAUUUCUAAAUUUGAUCAGUUGAUAGCUGGAACAAAUAUUUCAAUGACUGGAGACGGAUAGAACUCUAUAAGUAGUAAAAUAACGGGUUAUCAUGGUUAUUGCCAUUGAAGACCUACAAUGUACACUUUAGUAACUAGAUGGGAUUUUCUACUUUAUCCUUUCUGAUGGUAAUGAAGUCCCACGCAAUUCUGAUUUUAAUUUCUGUGCUGUUGACCAACUUGGGAUUGUGAGGUGGGU
ensembl:lncRNA